CCUACGGGAGGCAGCAGUGGGGAAUAUUGCACAAUGGGCGAAAGCCUGAUGCAGCAACGCCGCGUGAAGGAAGACGGUUUUCGGAUUGUAAACUUCUGUUCUUAGUGAAGAAUAAUGACGGUUACUAAGGAGCAAGCCACGGCCAACUACGUGCCAGCAGCCGCGGUAAUACGGAGGUGGCAAGCGUUGGCCGGAAUUACUGGGUGUAAAGGGAGCGUAGGCGGGAAGGCAAGUCAGCUGUGAAAACUACGGGCGUAACCUGUAGACUGCAGUUGAAACUGGCUUUCUUGAGUGAAGUAGAGGUGAGCGGAAUUCCGAGUGUAGCGGUGAAAUGCGUAGAUAUUCGGAGGAACACCGGUGGCGAAGGCGGCCAACUGGACUUUAACUGACGCUGAGGCUCGAAAGUGUGGGGAGCAAACAGGAUUAGAUACCCCUGUAGUC
rnacentral:rRNA from 1 species